GUGCUCACUUUGGCAGCACAUAUAUUAAAAUUGGAAUGAUACAGAGAAGAUUAACUUGAUCCCUGCACAAGGAUGAUAUGCAAAUUCAUGAAACAUUCCAUUUUUUU
rnacentral:snRNA from 1 species